rnacentral:rRNA from 1 species
CCUACGGGAGGCAGCAGUGGGGAAUAUUGCACAAUGGGGGAAACCCUGAUGCAGCGACGCCGCGUGAGUGAAGAAGUAUUUCGGUAUGUAAAGCUCUAUCAGCAGGAACGAGACAAGACGGUACCUGACUAAGAAGCCCCGGCUAACUACGUGCCAGCAGCCGCGGUAAUCCGUAGGGGGCAAGCGUUAUCCGGAAUCACUGGGUGUAAAGGGAGCGUAGACGGCUGGGCAAGCCUGAAGUGAAAGGCGGGGGCCCAACCCCCGGACUGCUUUGGGAACUGUACGGCUGGAGUGCAGGAGAGGUAAGUGGAAUUCCUGGUGUAGCGGUGAAAUGCGUAGAUAUUAGGAGGAACACCAGUGGCGAAGGCGGCUUACUGGACUGUAACUGACGUUGAGGCUCGAAAGCGUGGGGAGCAAACAGGAUUAGAUACCCCUGUAGUC